rnacentral:ncRNA from 16 species
AUAUAUCAUUGUAUUUUGCCUCGUAUAAUUGUGGAGAUAUGGUCCACGAGUUUCUACCGGACGGCCGUAAACUGUUCGACUACGGGGGAAACACCUGGGAUG